rnacentral:rRNA from 1 species
GACGAACGCUGGCGGCGUGCUUAACACAUGCAAGUCGAACGGAAAGGCCUCUUUCGGGGGGUGCUCGAGUGGCGAACGGGUGUGUAACACGUGAGUAACCUGCCCUUGACUUUGGGAUAACUUCAGGAAACUGGGGCUAAUACCGGAUAGGAGCUCCUGCUGCAUGGUGGGGGUUGGAAAGUUUCGGCGGUUGGGGAUGGACUCGCGGCUUAUCAGCUUGUUGGGGGGGGAGUGGCUUACCAAGGCUUUGACGGGGAGCCGGCCUGUGAGGGUGACCGGCCACAUUGGGACUGAGAUACGGCCCAGACUUCUACGGGAGGCAGCAGUGGGGAAUAUUGCACAAUGGGUGGAAGCCUGAUGCAGCAACGCCGUGUGCGGGAUGACGGCCUUCGGGUUGUAAACCGCUUUCGCUCAUGACGAAGCUUUGUGUGACGGUAGUGGGUAAAGAAGCACCGGCUAACUACGUG